rnacentral:rRNA from 1 species
GACGGAGGGUGCAAGCGUUGCUCGGAAUCACUGGGCGUAAAGGGUGCGUAGGCGGUCUCGCAAGUCUGGCGUGAAAGCCCAAGGCUCAGCCUUGGAAGUGCGCUCGAAACGGCGAGGCUGGAGUGCCGGAGGGGAGAGUGGAAUUCCCGGUGUAGCGGUGAAAUGCGUAGAGAUCCCCAAGAACACCAGUUGCGAAGGCGGCUGACUGGACACAUAUUGACGCUGAGGCUCGAAAGCAUGGGGAGCAAACAGG